GUGGCAUUCCCUGUGAGGGGCACAGCCCUCCUGGCAGAGCAGCGCCGCCCUUCUGGGGCUGUCCUCGGGCAGGGACCUCUGCGGGCAUCGCUGCGGUUUGUGCCUCAGUGCAGAGAGGAACUUCCAGCUCUGACUCCGAUCUUCCUGCCGGUUUGCCACCCGGAGUUGCCUCCAAAGGCAUUACGUGCCACGGGCUGUCAGCCCUGCUCAGCAGUUGUGCUGCCUGCACAAAGCAGAGGGUGCUGCAGAAAGCGGUAUCCAGUUUCUGCUCUCAAGAUGACAGUCGGUUUGUGCUCGUGGGGAGUAUGUGGGGCUGAGAAGCGGUGAAGCUGUUGGUCUCAGAAGCACAAACUGUCUGAAAGGCGAGGGACAGGAAGAGCUGCCCGGCAGGAGCGAAGGGAACACAAACACAGCAUUAAAGCGGCAACGAAAUGAGUUCGAGGAAACAACCGCCCCGCGGGGCUGUGCGUGGUGGGACGGAGCCCGGGAGAGCAAACGGGUGAGAUUUUGGCAUUUUGAAAGGGAGCUGAGGAAGGAGGGAGCUCUGUUGCCGUGGCUGCUGCAGGGCGCGGCUGUGCCGCAGGGCUGAGCGGUGCAUCCCGGGCUCUGCGCUGCCGGGCACCGCUCCGUGCCGGGGGCAGCCGGGAGGUGCUGCGGCUGAGCCGCCCGCGGGGCGGACGACGGCCGGGCGCGCUCCGUCUGUGCGGCGGGCGCUCUCCUUCUGGGUAAGCCGUGAGAGCGCCGCGGCCGCGGGGCAGGAGGUGGGGAAGGACGGCCGUCCCCGGGGGCUUUCAAGGCACAGCAGCGACUCUGGCGAUGGCUUCAAGGAGGAAGUUGGAGUGACCGCGGCAGCUGCUUCCCCCCAACGCAGCUGUUAUCUUAACUCCCGGAGCGACCGAUAGAG
rnacentral:lncRNA from 1 species